UUUCCGUAGGUGAACCUGCGGAAGGAUCAUUAAAGUUGUAGUCCCCCGGCCCCUCCGGGCAGGGGUCUUCUUUACCGUCCUUUGUUUAUUACACCUUUGUUGCUUUAGCAGGCCUGCACUCGGGCUUCUGGCUCCGGCCGGCUCGUGCCUGCCAAAGGAACUAACCUCUGUUUGUAUAUGAAGUCUGAUUACUAUAUAAUAGUUAAAACUUUCAACAACGGAUCUCUUGGUUCUG
rnacentral:misc_RNA from 1 species